rnacentral:rRNA from 1 species
UACGUAGGGGGCAAGCGUUGUCCGGAUUUAUUGGGCGUAAAGAGCGUGUAGGCGGUUAUACAGGUCCGCUGUGAAAACUGGAGGCUUAACCUCCAGACGUCGGUGGAAACCGUAUAACUAGAGUCCGGAAGAGGAGAGUGGAAUUCCUGGUGUAGCGGUGAAAUGCGCAGAUAUCAGGAAGAACACCCGUGGCGAAGGCGGCUCUCUGGGACGGUACUGACGCUUAGACGCGAAAGCGUGGGGAGCGAACAGG